GCUGGGCACAGUGGCACAUGCCUGUAGUCCCAGCUACUGGAAGGCUGAGGUGGGGAAUUGCUUGAGCUCAGGAGUUCUGGGCUGUAGUAUGCUAUGCCGAUCGGGUGUCCGCACUAAGUUUGGCAUCAAUAUGGUGACCUCCCGGGAGCAGGGGACCACCAGGUUGCCUAAGGAGGGUGAACUGGCCGAGAUUGGAAACAGCAGGUCAAAAAAACUCCGUGUUGAUCAGUAGUGGGAUUGUGCCUGUGAAUAGCCACUGUGCUCCAGCCUGGGCAACAGAGCAAGACCCUGUCUCUU
ensembl:misc_RNA Metazoa_SRP Metazoan signal recognition particle RNA